CCUACGGGGGGCAGCAGUGAGGAAUAUUGGUCAAUGGGCGAAAUCCUGAACCAGCCAUGCCGCGUGAAGGACGACGGCUCUACGAGUUGUAAACUGCUUUUAUACCGGGGUAAAAUGCUCUACGAGUAGGGUUUUGAAAGUACGAUACGAAUAAGGAUCGGCUAACUCCGUGCCAGCAGCCGCGGUAAUACGGAGGAUCCGAGCGUUAUCCGGAUUCAUUGGGUUUAAAGGGUGCGUAGGUUGUUGUAUAAGUUAGCUGUGAAAGACCGAUGCUCAACAUCGGGGCUGCAGUUAAUACUGUAUGACUAGAGUGCGGAAGCAGCAGGCGGAAUGUGUAGUGUAGCGGUGAAAUGCAUAGAUAUUACACAGAACACCGAUUGCGAAGGCAGCUUGCUAGGCUGGAUCUGACACUGAUGCACGAAAGUGUGGGGAUCGAACAGGAUUAGAUACCCUAGUAGUC
rnacentral:rRNA from 1 species